GAUGAACGCUGGCGGCGUGCUUAACACAUGCAAGUCGAACGGGAAACCUUUUAUUGAAGCUUCGGCAGAUUUAGCUGGUUUCUAGUGGCGGACGGGUGAGUAACGCGUGGGUAACCUGCCUUAUACAGGGGGAUAACAACCAGAAAUGGUUGCUAAUACCGCAUAAGCGCACAGGACCGCAUGGUCCGGUGUGAAAAACUCCGGUGGUAUAAGAUGGACCCGCGUUGGAUUAGCUAGUUGGCAGGGUAACGGCCUACCAAGGCGACGAUCCAUAGCCGGCCUGAGAGGGUGAACGGCCACAUUGGGACUGAGACACGGCCCAGACUCCUACGGGAGGCAGCAGUGGGGAAUAUUGCACAAUGGGGGAAACCCUGAUGCAGCGACGCCGCGUGAAGGAAGAAGGAUCUCGGUAUGUAAACUUCUAUCAGCAGGGAAGAUAGUGACGGUACCUGACUAAGAAGCCCCGGCUAACUACGUG
rnacentral:rRNA from 1 species